rnacentral:rRNA from 1 species
AGGACGACGCUGGCGGCGUGCCUAAUACAUGCAAGUCGAACGGUCUUUCUAUGGAAGCUUGCUUCCACUGAGAAGAUAGUGGCGAACGGGUGAGUAACACGUGGGUAACCUGCCCAUAAGAGGGGGGAUAACAUCCGGAAACGGGUGCUAAUACCGCAUAGUUUUCUUGAUCGCAUGAUCGGGAAAGGAAAGACGGCCUUUGUGCUGUCGCUUAUGGAUGGACCCGCGGCGUAUUAGUUAGUUGGUGAGGUAACGGCUCACCAAGACGAUGAUACGUAGCCGACCUGAGAGGGUGAUCGGCCACAUUGGGACUGAGACACGGCCCAAACUCCUACGGGAGGCAGCAGUAGGGAAUCUUCCGCAAUGGACGAAAGUCUGACGGAGCAACGCCGCGUGAGUGAAGAAAGGUUUUCGGAUCGUAAAACUCUGUUGUCAGAGAAGAACAAGUUGGAGAGUAACUGCUCCAGCCUUGACGGUAUCUGACCAGAAAGCCACGGCUAACUACGUGCCAGCCGCAGC